GAUGAACGCUGGCGGCGUGCCUAAUACAUGCAAGUCGAGCGAACGGACGAGAAGCUUGCUUCUCUGAUGUUAGCGGCGGACGGGUGAGUAACACGUGGAUAACCUACCUAUAAGACUGGGAUAACUUCGGGAAACCGGAGCUAAUGCCGGAUAAUAUUUUGAACCGCAUGGUUCAAAAGUGAAAGACGGUCUUGCUGUCACUUAUAGAUGGAUCCGCGCUGCAUUAGCUAGUUGGUAAGGUAACGGCUUACCAAGGCAACGAUGCAUAGCCGACCUGAGAGGGUGAUCGGCCACACUGGAACUGAGACACGGUCCAGACUCCUACGGGAGGCAGCAGUAGGGAAUCUUCCGCAAUGGGCGAAAGCCUGACGGAGCAACGCCGCGUGAGUGAUGAAGGUCUUCGGAUCGUAAAACUCUGUUAUUAGGGAAGAACAUAUGUGUGAGUAACUGUGCACAUCUUGACGGUACCUAAUCAGAAAGCCACGGCUAACUACGUG
rnacentral:rRNA from 1 species